UAUAUGUAUUUAUGUAAAUGCUGCAUGACUUUGGCGUGUUUUAAUGCGCGUGCACGUUAAGCGGAGCACGGAGUUGCCAUGGAAAUGGGGAAACAACAACGGACAAGCAAGCAGCAAAAAGUCCUCCGUCUCUCACUGUUGUUUUCACUACUUUCAGGUGAGUUUAGUCCAUAAAAUCACACAAAUAAUACAUACAACUGUUCCUGACACUUUUCUUACCUGUAAUUGACACGCUUCUGUUGAAUAUUUACUUUAUAGAAAUGGUUUAGUGUCUUUGAAAAAGUCCGUUAGCAUCUCAACCAUUUUCAGAGAAGGAGCGACAGAAAAAAACCUCUACAACAAAGGGUGAUUAAGCUCCACCCUUGCUGCUGACCUGAAGGAAACAGAUUCUUCCAUGCUGAUGCCAGCAGAGUUGAAUGGACCUCCUGUCAGAUAACAUCUCCAAGUUAUGAACAAUAUGGCUAGUAAGUAAAAUCUCAAACUUACACUUGUGUGUCAUUCUGUGUCAAAUAAAUUAGAGGUCCCCAGCUCAAAAUUUUGAUUUUGUUAUUUGAUUUUUGUUAUGUUAUGUUUUGUUUUGUUUUUUUUGUAAUGAAUACAUUCUAUAAAUAUUUAUAUUUAUAGAAUGUAUUCAUUACCAAUAUAUUGAAUCAUCUGUUUAUAUUUUUCUAAACCCCUGAAAAUAGAGUCUAGACAUCAGAAAAAUUUCAGCCUAUAAAUGCGUUUUAUAUUUUAGAUGAGGGAAAUACACUUGCUUUGCGGACGUGACAAAAACAGACAACAUAUUUUGUUGACUUAAUGAGCAUUACAAUGCACAAACCUAAAGCAACAGUAUCUACCAAAUAGAGAAUGGUUGACUCUUCACAGAACAUAAAAUAUCUAUUUUAUUUUGAUUUGCGUUUUCGCAUUUAGGAAAGAUCAACAUUACAGACGUGAUGGUUUUGAAAGCGGAAUUUAUCUGACUAUAAAAAUUUUCUAGUCGACUAUACAUUACAUUAAUAUAAUAAACCAUAAUGAGCCUUUGAUAUAUAUAGGCAUAAUUUAAUACGCGCUCAAGCACAUGCAGAAAGCUUGCUGCAAAGCACCAACAAAAAUAGCCUAA